rnacentral:rRNA from 1 species
AACGAACGCUGGCGGCAGGCUUAACACAUGCAAGUCGAACGGCAGCACGGGUGCUUGCACCUGGUGGCGAGUGGCGAACGGGUGAGUAAUACAUCGGAACGUACCUUAUCGUGGGGGAUAACGCAGCGAAAGCUGUGCUAAUACCGCAUACGCCCUGAGGGGGAAAGCGGGGGAUCGCAAGACCUCGCGCGAUUAGAGCGGCCGAUGCCUGAUUAGCUUGUUGGUGGGGUAAAAGCCCACCAAGGCGACGAUCAGUAGCUGGUCUGAGAGGACGAUCAGCCACACUGGGACUGAGACACGGCCCAGACUCCUACGGGAGGCAGCAGUGGGGAAUUUUGGACAAUGGGGGCAACCCUGAUCCAGCAAUGCCGCGUGAGUGAAGAAGGCCUUCGGGUUGUAAAGCUCUUUUGUCAGGGAAGAAACACCGGCUCUAACACAGUCCGGGAAUGACGGUACCUGAAGAAUAAGCACCGGCUAACUACGUGCCAGCCGCCGCUGUAA